rnacentral:rRNA from 1 species
AUUGAACGCUGGCGGCGUGCCUAACACAUGCAAGUCGCACGCGAAAGGGGGCAACCCCAAGUAGAGUGGCGGACGGGUGAGUAACGCGUAGGAAUCUACCUAGUAGUGGGGGACAACCCGGCGAAAGCCGGGCUAAUACCGCAUACGACCUAAGGGUGAAAGCAGGGGAUCGCAAGACCUUGCGCUAUUAGAUGAGCCUGCGUCCGAUUAGCUAGUUGGUGAGGUAACGGCUCACCAAGGCGACGAUCGGUAACUGGUUUGAGAGAACGACCAGUCAAAUUGGGACUGAGAAACGGCCCAAACUCCUACGGGAGGCAGCAGUGGGGAAUAUUGGAUAAUGGGGGCAACCCUGAUCCAGCGACGCCGCGUGUGUGAAGAAGGCCUUCGGGUUGUAAAGCACUUUCGGCAGGGACAAACAAGACGGAGCUAACAUCUCCGUUCCUGAUGGUACCUGAAGAAGAAGCACCGGCUAACUCUGUGCCAGCAGCCGCCGUAA